UGCGUAGGCGGCGCGGUAAGUCGGGUGUGAAAUCUUGGAGCUUAACUCCGAAACUGCAUUCGAUACUGCCGUGCUUGAGGACUGGAGAGGAGACUGGAAUUUACGGUGUAGCGGUGAAAUGCGUAGAUAUCGUAAGGAAGACCAGUGGCGAAGGCGGGUCUCUGGACAGUUCCUGACGCUGAGGCACGAAGGCCAGGGAGGCAAACG
rnacentral:rRNA from 1 species